AGUGAACGCUGGCGGUAGGCCUAACACAUGCAAGUCGAACGGCAGCACAGUAAGAGCUUGCUCUUACGGGUGGCGAGUGGCGGACGGGUGAGGAAUACAUCGGAAUCUACUUUUUCGUGGGGGAUAACGUAGGGAAACUUACGCUAAUACCGCAUACGACCUACGGGUGAAAGCAGGGGAUCUUCGGACCUUGCGCGAUUGAACGAGCCGAUGUCGGAUUAGCUAGUUGGCGGGGUAAAGGCCCACCAAGGCGACGAUCCGUAGCUGGUCUGAGAGGAUGAUCAGCCACACUGGAACUGAAACACGGUCCAGACUCCUACGGGAGGCAGCAGUGGGGAAUAUUGGACAAUGGGCGCAAGCCUGAUCCAGCCAUACCGCGUGGGUGAAGAAGGCCUUCGGGUUGUAAAGCCCUUUUGUUGGGAAAGAAAAGCAGCAGGUUAAUACCCCGCUGUUCUGACGGUACCCAAAGAAUAAGCACCGGCUAACUUCGUG
rnacentral:rRNA from 1 species